rnacentral:rRNA from 1 species
UACGUAGGGGGCAAGCGUUGUCCGGAUUUAUUGGGCGUAAAGAGCGUGUAGGCGGCUUGGCAAGUCCGCUGUGAAAACUCGAGGCUCAACCUCGAGACGUCGGUGGAAACUGCCUGGCUAGAGUCCGGAAGAGGAGAGUGGAACUCCUGGUGUAGCGGUGAAAUGCGCAGAUAUCAGGAAGAACACCCGUGGCUAAGGCGGCUCUCUAGUACGGUACUGACGCUGAGACGCGAAAGCGUGGGGAGCGAACAGG